GGGAAUAUAGCUCAGUUGGUAGAGUGCUUGCCUCACAUGCACAAGGCCUGAGUUCAAUUCUCAGCAUCA
rnacentral:tRNA from 1 species